GCCGGCGUGGCGGAACGGCAGACGCAGAGGACUUAAAAUCCUCCGAGGGGUAACCCUCGUGUGGGUUCGAUUCCCACCGCCGGCA
rnacentral:tRNA from 1 species